GACGAACGCUGGCGGCGUGCUUAACACAUGCAAGUCGAACGGAAAGGCCCUGCUUUUGUGGGGUGCUCGAGUGGCGAACGGGUGAGUAACACGUGAGUAACCUGCCCUUGACUUUGGGAUAACUUCAGGAAACUGGGGCUAAUACCGGAUAGGAGCUCCUGCUGCAUGGUGGGGGUUGGAAAGUUUCGGCGGUUGGGGAUGGACUCGCGGCUUAUCAGCUUGUUGGUGGGGUAGUGGCUUACCAAGGCUUUGACGGGUAGCCGGCCUGAGAGGGUGACCGGCCACAUUGGGACUGAGAUACGGCCCAGACUCCUACGGGAGGAAGAAGUGGGGAAUAUUGCACAAUGGGCGGAAGCCUGAUGCAGCAACGCCGCGUGCGGGAUGACGGCCUUCGGGUUGUAAACCGCUUUCGCCUGUGACGAAGCGUGAGUGACGGUAAUGGGUAAAGAAGCACCGGCUAACUACGUG
rnacentral:rRNA from 1 species